rnacentral:rRNA from 1 species
UACGUAGGGUGCGAGCGUUAAUCGGAAUUACUGGGCGUAAAGCGUGCGCAGGCGGUUUUGUAAGCCAGAUGUGAAAGCCCCGGGCUUAACCUGGGAAUGGCAUUUGGGACUGCAAGGCUUGAGUGCGGCAGAGGAGACUGGAAUUCCUGGUGUAGCAGUGAAAUGCGUAGAUAUCAGGAGGAAUACCGAUGGCGAAGGCAGGUCUCUGGGCUGACACUGACGCUAAUGCACGAAAGCGUGGGGAGCAAACAGG